ensembl:ncRNA C41G11.6 ncRNA
CGCGUGGAUUUCAGUAGAAAAUGUGUGGGGCAGAUUGGGCUUUAGGUGAGGUAGGGCCCCCUUAUUUGCAUACCAUUAAGUGCACACAUGAUGAGUCUUCUCAAGUUUCUUCUACGCCA